rnacentral:RNase_MRP_RNA from 2 species
CCCUCGCUCAACAAAUCGCUAUUCGAAGCUUCCAAACAGAGAUACUUGGCUUCGGCCUCGUAUCUUGUCUUCCGAGACCUUUAUGCUUCGGGAGAAAGUCCCCGGACAAACUCCUUCUCGGAGUCUGCGGAAACGCGCCGCCAUAGAAGCACCGCGGCUGACCUCUUGCACCUUGGCCCAAUUCGCGCGCAUCCACCCUUUCUGUCGCUACAUCCGUCUUUCUGCAAGUCCUCACCAGCAUCCAGCUGCGUCUCUUGGCCCCCAUGGAUGAAGAUAUGAGUCCGCGCUUGGAGCACAAUGCUGGACUCACUGGUGUCGAGCUCGCGUCUGCGGGUGACAGUCUAGCCGUGGUGACGUGAAUUGUGGUGUCGGGCGCUGAGGACUUGUUGUCGAAGUCGAUAGGCAUGCGAUUGCUCAAUAUUCAUUGGGUUACUCGAUGGGGCUUAUUCUUGAGGCGAGG